rnacentral:rRNA from 1 species
UGGGGGAUAUUGCACAAUGGGCGAAAGCCUGAUGCAGCGGCGCCGCGUGGGGGAUGAAGGCUUUCGGGUUGUAAACCUCUUUCGCUAUCGAACAAGGCCCGCUUAGGGUGGGUUGAGGGUAGGUGGAGAAGAAGCGCCGGCUAACUACGUGCCAGCAGCCGCGGUAAUACGUAGGGCGCGAGCGUUGUCCGGAAUUAUUGGGCGUAAAGGGCUUGUAGGCGGCUUGUUGCGCCUGCUGUGAAAACGCGGGGCUUAACUUCGCGCGUGCAGGGGGUACGGGCAGGCCUGAGUGGGGUAGGGGUGACGGGAAUGCCAGGUGGAGCGGUGGAAUGCGCAGAUAUCUGGAGGAAAACCGAUGGAGAAGGCAGGUCACUGGGCCAUUACUGACGCUGAGGAGCGAACGCAUGGGUAGCGAACAGG